rnacentral:rRNA from 1 species
AGGGCAAGUCUGGUGCCCGCAGCCGCGGUAAUUCCAGCUCCAAUAGCGUAUAUUAAAGUUGUUGCAGUUAAAAAGCUCGUAGUUGAAUUUCGGGGUUAGUAGGUUGGUCAUGCCUCAGGUAUGUACUGAUCUCACUGAUUCCUCCUUCCUGAUGAACCGUAAUGCCAUUAAUUUGGUGUUGCGGGGAAACUGGACUGUUACUUUGAAAAAAUUAGAGUGUUUAAAGCAGGCUAACGCUUGAAUACAUUAGCAUGGAAUAAUGAAAUAGGACGUUCGAUCUUAUUUUGUUGGUUUCUAAGAUUGACGUAAUGAUUAAUAGGGAUAGUUGGGGGCAUUAGUAUUCAAUUGUCAGAGGUGAAAUUCUUGGAUUUAUUGAAGACUAACUACUGCGAAAGCAUUUGCCAAGGAUGUUUUCAUUAAUCAAGAACGAAAGUUAGGGGAUCGAAGACGAUCAGAUACCGUCGUAGUCUUAACCAUAAACUAUGCCGACUAGGGAUCGGAUGAUGUUAAUUUUUUAAUGACUCAUUCGGCGCCUUACGGGAA